CCUUAUUCCCUGGCCUCAGGCUAACUCUUAGCCUUUCUACAAGUAGGACAAGAAGGAAAUGAUUUGGACAAAGUUCAUGAACAAGUUCUAAGCGACCUCUUGCACAGCCUUGGGUUGAGACGGAUGGCCACUCAAGCCACUGAAUGGAGGCCCUGGAUUUGAACUACAUGUUCCCAAAUCCAUCCAGGGAGCUUUAAUGCAAGGCUCUUACAUGUUUUGAAGAUCUGAUAAUGCUGUGACCAGCAAAGAAUCUGAAGUGACAUUCUGGGAUAUGAGAAUGUCCCGUUCCAUUCCCUCAGUUCCCACAAGGCCUCCUGUACCCUGAUGAAUUUUAAACAGUAAAACUUUCUCUAAUAAUAGUCUCAA